AGUUUUGAAUCUUUAUUUUCAUCUUCAAAUUAAGUCGAGAUUCUUUGCGUUAGAACUCGGGUUGAAUUUCGUGGUUCAUUCAUUUAUCAACAUUUCUAAGGAAUAUUCAGGAGAAAUAUGCAAAGUAAAUCUUAUUGCCCCAGAUGCAAGAGCUACGCUCCAGAUAAAAUUACUAUCAAAGUAAAGGUUGCUGGUGAAGAUUAUCAUGAUCUUUUGUUAGACUGGUCAGAUGGUCUAGAUGUAGGGCGACAAUUUUUACAACAACUUGCAUCGAUAACAGGAAUACCAUUGAAUAAAAUUCAUGGUUGUCUAACAGAGUAUCAGGAGCCG